ensembl:ncRNA F08F1.15 ncRNA
UUGACCACCUCCAUAUUUGUGCAUAUUUAGAGCCUGCACGAGAAAUAGUCUUUUAUUGUGUAUAUGGGAGAUGAGGGGGUUCCGAGCGGCGCAUUAAGCACUGUUGGCGUUAAGGCGGUCGGCACGGAUCAAGGUUAUACUUUUU